rnacentral:rRNA from 1 species
AUUGAACGCUGGCGGCAUGCUUUACACAUGCAAGUCGAACGGCAGCGCGGGCUUCGGCCUGGCGGCGAGUGGCGAACGGGUGAGUAAUGCAUCGGAACGUGCCCAGUAGUGGGGGGUAGCCCGGCGAAAGCCGGCUUAAUACCGCAUACGACCUGAGUGUGAAAGCGGGGGAGCGAAAGGCCUCGCGCUAUUGGAGCGGCAGAUGUCGGAUUAGCUAGUUGGUGGGGUAAAGGCUUACCAAGGCGACGAUCCGUAGCUGGUCUGAGAGGACGACCAGCCACACUGGGACUGAGACACGGCCCAGACUCCUACGGGAGGCAGCAGUGGGGAAUUUUAGACAAUGGGGGCAACCCUGAUCCAGCCAUGCCGCGUGCGGGAAGAAGGCCUUCGGGUUGUAAACCGCUUUUGUUCGGGAAGAAAUCCUCUGGGCUAAUACCCCGGGGGGAUGACGGUACCGGAAGAAUAAGCACCGGCUAACUACGUG